AUUUGUGAAAUAAGGUCAAAAUCGGACCUUUGGCCACUAAAACGACAGCCUAGGACAAAAUAGGAUUUCAUUUGAAGAUCAAAGGUUAGAAUACAAGAGCUAGCUUGAAGUUCUUUUCAAAGACAUAAGAAUGGUUUUGAGAGGGUUUUGGAAGACUUAGCAAUUGUUGUUCAAAGUCAGAGUUUGUAUCAGUGAUUUGGGUUUUAUAUAAUAUAAUUAGGACUAGCAAUUUUGGCUAGUUUCUGCAAUUGGUAUGACAUCUUUGAUUGAAUAUUUGAUAUUGUUUGGAUUAUUGGGUAUAUUAAGUAUAUACAAAAUUUUGUGAUAAUCUAAUGGCGUGGUUUAGAGAGAUCUAGUUUUUAGCAUGAGAGGAUUUCAGAAGGUGGCAGUUUGAGGUUGGAUAGGAUUUCUAUGAUAUCUAAAGAUCUAUCAAUUGGAUUAAGGUGAAAAUUAGCAUGA
rnacentral:lncRNA from 1 species